rnacentral:lncRNA from 1 species
GCUAACUGCCUUCUAUGAAAGCAGUUAUUGAAGGUGAUCAUAUUCUUCCAGCCACAAGACUGAAAUAUGGUUUCUCAAAACUUAACUAAAAAGCUAUAUUUUACUGAGACACAUACAUACACCACAUGCGCGUGCGUGCAUGCUUGCACUCCCUUCCCCCCUGAAAUAAUUACAAAUCAUGGAGAGGUUUGUCUGGGCUACUUUGAAACAAGUUGAACAAACAAUGGUUGGUGAGUAAAAAAAGUGUCCUACAAUUCUCCCAGACUUGCUUCAUAAAGCUCUUGGCAGUCACACUACAUUGCACAGGAUUGAGAAGAGUUUAAAGAAAUCACAUUUCAGCUUCAACAGAGGGUUUCACCAGCAUAUUAGUCAGAAGAAUUUGGGAGUGAAUCCCACUACAGUGAUGCUGACUGCAUCUUUAAGAAGUGACCAUGAUGUUGUGUUCAUGUAUGGUAUGUAUAUACAUAUGAGUUGAGCCUCAUAUAUAUAUACACAUACACACAUACACAUAAACACA